AUGAUCCCCUGGGAAGCCCCCUGGGCCUCACAAGGAGCAGCUUUCUCCACCAUCUCUGUCCACAUCAGUUCCCACCCAGGAUGGGGGCCACAACCUUCUCCAUCCCCUGGGCCUCUGCCCAAUGAGGGUCUCUACCUUGUCCCCCAUAGGUCCUGCCCUCCUUCCCGCAGGCUGUCCCUGGAGGAGGUGGGUGGGUGGGUCUUCAUCCCCCUUCUGAACACUCCCUCCCCACUUCUGAGGGUCUGCGGCUCCUGCCACAGUGAGGCCAGAGUCAGACGAGCCCCCUGCUGGUCAGAGAAAGGCCAUCACGUCCAUCCUCACCCCCUUGUUGGAGUGUCAGCUCCCAGGCCCCCAAGCACACACCCCAGCACUAAGCGCUUCAGUUUUGCACAGGGUGGAGAAAACACACAUCAAGCUGACUGUAGUCUGCGGGGUCUGGGAGAAGAGUUUGGGGAGGUGGGCGCUUACUUUAUUUUUGCGUUGCCUCUGCCUCCAGCCACAGCUGGACAAGGAGCAAAACAGCUUUGGGCACUGCCUUGUGAAAGGUUGGCCCAUCUGCUAGGAAAUCCAGCUAUGGCCAAACAAGGUUUUUAUUUUAAAAAGAAUGCAGCUUCCCAGCGUGUCCUCAGCGCCUCCCCAAGCCUGUCCGCUGUGUUUGUGACGUUCUGCACAGGUCUUGCCUGGUGGGGUGUCUACUCUAGUGGGGGCAUGGCAGGAUGGCUGGCAGGGCCACCUUCACAGACCCAGCUCCAGUACCGAGGCUGGGGGCCUUACCUCCACAGACAAAGCGGGACCUCCUGUAAGCACAGGGUCCUGCUAUCUGGCUACAAACUCCAGAAUCUGACCAUCUGGGCCCGGAGACAUGAGGCCCAGUGGUCACUAAGAGACGUGAUUGCCCAGCCUGCAGGACAUGGCCUCUGUGUGGGCAGGGCUGUGUCCUCUUCGUCCCUGAUGUACCCCCCACCCAGUUCCUCGCCAUGCUGCUGGCACAGAGUCGGUCUUAGACAAAUAAAUGUGCUAAAUGAACGCAGGUGUGCCUCCCUGGACCUUUUCGUUAAUGACUUGCUCUUCGCCAGGCGCUGUCCUAAGUAA
rnacentral:lncRNA from 1 species